rnacentral:rRNA from 1 species
UACGAAGGGGGCUAGCGUUGUUCGGAAUUACUGGGCGUAAAGGGCGCGUAGGCGGUGCCUCAAGUCAGGCGUGAAAGCCCCGGGCUCAACCUGGGAACCGCGCUUGAGACUGGAGUACUAGAGUUCAGGAGAGGAUGGUGGAAUUCCCAGUGUAGAGGUGAAAUUCGUAGAUAUUGGGAAGAACACCGAUGGCGAAGGCAGCCAUCUGGACCGACACUGACGCUGAGGCGCGAAAGCGUGGGGAGCGAACAGG